rnacentral:tRNA from 1 species
GCCGCUAUAGCUCAGCCGGUUAGAGCGUGGGUCUAAUAAGUCUAAAUAAACCAAUAGUUAGCCCAAGGUCGCAGGUUCGAUCCCUGCUAGCGGCA